rnacentral:sRNA from 1 species
UAGAAGUGCUAAAAUCAGUCAAUCUAAUC